rnacentral:lncRNA from 1 species
GGGAGAGGGGGCUGAACAGGGCCCUGCACUCCCCUUGGCCCAGGGAAGCCCUGCCCUGUCCACCAUCCUGGUGCACUGUCAUUGUCCACUGGGCCCCUGGCUUGCUCAAUGUCUGUGUCUUCCAGCUGGACGGGCAGCCGAGGCAGGACCUUGGUGGCCUCAUCCUCUGCUGUCUCCCAGCGCCUGCCACUCAGCAGAGGCCGUCUGCAACCCACAACUAUUGCUGGGGUAAAAUAGAAAAUUUUCUUGAAAAAUGCAACUUACCAAAACUGGCUUAAGAAGAAACAAUGGAGGGAAGAAUGUUAGCAUGACAGAAUAAUGACUUUCUGGAAGAGGAAGGACAAAGGCCACCAUAGCUCAUAUUAGGAGAAAUGAGAAGUCUUCCAGGAUCCCAGUGGAGAAUGUUCUCCACAAGUGAUUAAAGGAGAAAAUCAUAUUAUCAUCUGAAGAGGUAUAGAGAAGGCAUGGAAUAAAAGUCAACGUCCAUUUGUGAUUAAAAACGCUGGGAAUACAAGGAGAAGGCUGCCGGCAAUCUGAAGAAGGCUUCAGACACACAAGUGCACACAUCGUAUUCAAUGCUGAACCCGGAACACUUGCUUUUUGAGACUAGGAACAAGUCAAGGGUUCCACCAACACCACCGCUAUGAGACGAUUCACGGGAGGCCUUGG